CCAACUUACGAUUCUUUUUCUACCCAAAUUUAUCACAAAAUCCAAUCCCACUACAUUCUUACUACCUCCCUUCUCUCUUCAAGAAAGGCUGCUACUUUUGUCAAACAUGUGUUCUCAAACAAAAAAUUAAGUUUGAAAGAAAUAAGAAUAAAAAAGAAAAUAUACCGAUAAAUAUUACCUCAUGUUCCAAAAGAAGUAAAAAC
rnacentral:lncRNA from 1 species